GACGAACGCUGGCGGCGUGCCUAAUACAUGCAAGUAGAACGCUGAAGAGAGGAGCUUGCUCUUCUUGGUUGAGUUGCGAACGGGUGAGUAACGCGUAGGUAACCUGCCUGGUAGCGGGGGAUAACUAUUGGAAACGAUAGCUAAUACCGCAUAAAAUGGAUUAUCGCAUGAUAAUCCAUUGAAAGGUGCAAAUGCAUCACUACCAGAUGGACCUGCGUUGUAUUAGCUAGUUGGUGGGGUAACGGCUCACCAAGGCGACGAUACAUAGCCGACCUGAGAGGGUGAUCGGCCACGCUGGGACUGAGACACGGCCCAGACUCCUACGGGAGGCAGCAGUAGGGAAUCUUCGGAAAUGGACGGAAGUCUGACCGAGCAACGCCGCGUGAGUGAAGAAGGUUUUCGGAUCGUAAAGCUCUGUUGUAAGAGAAGAACGAGUGUGAGAGUGGAAAGUUCACACUGUGACGGUAUCUGACCAGAAAGGGACGGCUAACUACGUG
rnacentral:rRNA from 1 species